AGUGUUGAAAAACAUGCAAUGAAUUAUGACAAUCAAAAGUUAUGGUCAAGAAGACUCACAUUUUCAAGCGGAAAUUUUACUUUGUACAAUUUUUACAAUUUCGCUUUUUUUUUGUUUUGUUUUGGGUUUGGUUGUAAAAUUUUGUACAUGAAUUGUGGUUUUGAUUCUUUUCAUUUUUUUUUUUUUGUUUCGUAAGAUGUUAUGAACAUGUAAAAUUUAUUUUGCUGUUGUUAAUUUAACUUUUUUCAUUUCAUUUGUUAGAUACACGCUCACAAACGGGGCAAGUGAAGCAAUCAAUUGCUGGUGAUAUUUGGUGUGGAAGGGGAAGUGAAAUGGAAAGGAGAAAAAGUAGUAGUGUAACGGAAAAUGAAGGAAAAGACAAGCCACAACUUGGAAUGGAGAUGAAUAUUCCCACAAUUUAAACCGCUAAAUUAAAAACAGAGAGUGAAGAAAACAAUGCCGCGGUAAUUUUAAUCAAUUGUGUAUCACUAGAAACCUCAAAAUCUCAAUAUUUUGCAAUUCUCACACCAAAUGUUCAACGAAGCUGUAACCAACAACAAGCCAAACACAAAAUGUCCACCUGGAAACGCUAGAGAAAUACACAAAUAAUUUCGCCAAAUGCAAUUUUCGAAAACAAUUUCUGCCAAUUAAAAUUUUGUCGAAGUGUUCGAUGGGCCACACAAAUAAAAGAAAAGACCAAACAACACGGUUUUCGCUUACACUAAAAAGUAUAUUUCUCCGUUGAGCAUUUCAGAACAAAAUAUCAGAAAAUUUCACAACAUCAUCAUCUUCAUUAUCAUUCAUCAUCAAAGCAGUUGCACAAUAUAUGCAAAUGAGCGCAGCAUAUAAAGCGCGACCGCAUUUUGCAGGGCAAAUACAAAACAUACAGUACAUACUAAAAAUCGCUUAAAUUUAAGGGAAUACAAGGGCGGCCAAAAAAGAACACACAAAUAUAAAAUUUCCAAAAAAAAAA
rnacentral:lncRNA from 1 species